UACGAAGGGAGCUAGCGUUGUUCGGAAUUACUGGGCGUAAAGGGCGCGUAGGCGGUUUAACAAGUCAGGUGUGAAAGCCCUGGGCUCAACCCGGGAACUGCGCUUGAUACUGUUAAUCUUGAAUUCGGGAGAGGUUGGUGGAAUUCCCAGUGUAGAGGUGAAAUUCGUAGAGAUUGGGAAGAACACCCGUGGCGAAGGCGGCCAACUGGACCGACAUUGACGCUGAGGCGCGAAAGCGUGGGGAGCAAAC
rnacentral:rRNA from 1 species